ACAUCGUUGGCGAUGUCGAGCCGGUUGCCCGCAAAGGCCACCACGGCGACCUCGACGCAGCGGUCUAGGAGCUGGCCAACAUUGACAUCGAAGAUGAUUGGAGUCCAGCCCCUGCUGCUCACUGUACUUCUUCGCUGAUGAUGUUCGGCGGUCGGUGUCUUCAUGGUGGCGCCCGACUGCAUGGAGGCCAUGUAGGUGCAGGAUCUGAUUGUCAUCGAUGUCGUGCAGGAGGUCGAGCUAUUGGCCUGCAAGGGUAACCACAGUGACCACGACGCUGCUGUUCAAGAGCUCGUUGACAAUGGCAUCCAAAGUAUUGUGUCACUGGCAAGACAUUACAAUAGCGUCUGCAAGUGGGCGACUCUGGUUUAUCAUCGUCAUCAUCCGGUGUACAAUGAUUGUGAUGGGCCUGAAUAACACCUCUAGUCGCUGCCACCAGCGUCAUGCUGCUGGUGGUCGCUUGCCCCGCUUGAUACUCCCUGGAACGCAGGCGACGGGGCCAGCUCUAGGCCGCCUGAUGUGUGGAAUGUGGUGGCGGUGUGCAGGAUGCUGGAGGACGAGUGGGUGCCACCCGCCCAGGUUGACGCAAGACACGUGGUGAGCUACAAUUUAUUUUUCACCGAAACACAUUAAUAACCGUUUUCACUAUUUGUUUAUUUGCCAAGCAUGCCGCUUUAUCAUCUCUCAUGCGGCCGUCCCCGCCCAAGCUCUAAGGUAACCCAUGGUGAAACAACUAUAAUAGCUGGAGCUCUUGAGCUCAACGGAAAGAAAGCUAAAGAUGCUAUUGCAUUGCGCUUUGAAAUAUUUGUGACUGAUAUAAAUGCGAAUCUCAGCAGUUGUUGUAUUGAUUAGUCUGAACACAAAAUUCAUUCCACAUUGCUAUAAUUAUGCAUGUUUUUUCUGAAGAUGCAUUUUUUCCAUUUUUAGCACAUGGUCUAAUCAUUUGGAUUAUGUUUUACACAGGAAACUAAUUCAAUAGGUCAUUUAGAAAGGCCAUAUUACACUGGCAAUUUAUUAUUAAAGGGACACAAACAUUAUUGGAUUGAAAUUGGUAAUGCUAUCUUCUGCAUUAGGAAACCAUUAUAUGCAUUUCUGGUAUGGGUUUUUAAUCUGGACGUACGGUUUAAGUUUUUUCUAUUUCAUCGGAAUGAACCCCUCUCAGUUCCUGCCAUGUUCCCUUGUUGUUGGAGAGUUAUUCUUCGGUAGAAUACGAUUCACCAAAGUUAUCAGGAGCAUUAGUUUUUUGCCAGAUUGAAAUCCAUGAGAACCUGGUGGACUCUGGGAUUGUAAACCGCAUGUCAGUAGUUGGUUGAUUCAAUAUUUUGUAUGAUCGAAGUGAAGAGCAAGAUCAGAAUGGUUUUUUAGUCAUGUACUGACUUCUAUGCGAACCAACGUAGCACAUUCACUGCGAAAUGGGUCGUGUGUGUAUUUAUGUGCUCACGUGAGCAUACUUCGUGAAGCAAGAUGCCAGUAAAUUUGGGAAUCCAUAACACUAAUCUAUCUAUAAUGUGUUUAAGCUUGCAAAUUGUAUACCACUUCUUUUUUUAAUAAGAAAGUUCCAUCACAAAUAGUCAGUACUCCUGUUGUAUUUCAGAUGUUUUUAUCUCUUCUAUAACUCUUGCUUAUUCUGUUGUAGAUGAGUAGCUAAAAAAUUAAUCUUUCGGACCUCUGGGCAUUGAGGAUUGAGGUUGACAAUGUUGUUGAAACUGACCCCAUGGCAUCUCUCAUGGACCUUGCAGAGAAGGAGAAGCCAGAUCCUUAUGUAUAUUUCAAUUCCUCACAGCUCUUGGAACAAACCAAUCUCCUGGUAUUGGUUGUUGCAGUUGGUGUUUUUUUGAAAGUAUUGGUCAUGAUGAGACCUAGGAGAAGCAUUGUCCUGGUCAAUAUUUUUGAUUACUGAAAAUGCAUCGGUAAGUAUGUGACUUAUCCUAAUCUAUUUGUUUGGAUGGCUGAUCAGAGAAGCAAGUUCCUUCUGUCUUUCAAUUCCUCGCAGCUCCUGGAAUAAACCAAUUUCUCGGUAUUUGGUUGUAUUUGGUUGUUACAGUUGGUGAACUGUGAUGCUAGGUCUCGCUAUAGGUUGAGGGCCAUGCAAGCUUAGUUUAAGCUUAACACUGAACUAACAAGAGAAAGACAUAGAUAUUUGUUUUGUAUGGCUAAGUCAAUGUCUUUAGAUAGUCCCUGAAGUUCAAAGUUUAUGUAAUGGCAUUUCCUCAUGUUUACUUGUACUGCUUCUAGAUGGGUGCGUACAUAAUAUUUAAUCCAGGAGCAUGAAAACACAGAUAAACACUCAUCUGACCCUAUUUCUGUUUGUGUAGACUGUGGAGAUCAUAGUUUUUUCUAUAGGAAUUUGUUUGGGAAAACUUCUACAUUUCCCUUAUUUAAAACCUGACAAUACUUUUGUCCAGUCUCUGUAAAUAGUGGUAAUGAACCUUUCUUGCACAAUUAUAUACUCCAGCGUGCAGUAAGCUACUUCCUAGCAAUAUUGUACUUCUUGAAUGCUUAGGCCAACUAGUGAGCUCAAGUGGUUUGUUCUGUAGAUUGAGUAACGGUGCAUGCAGGAAACAAGUAGUAUGUAGUAGCGCUUCAUCUAAUAAUUAUGUGUUGUGAGAUAUGUGACAUGUUCAUCACUUACUGCUAAUUAUUUGCACGUGCCAACAACUUGAAUACUGACAUCUUUGUCUAUAUGAACACUAGUUGUGAACACUAUCCAUGGUUUACUUUCAAGUUUCAUCUUAUCAUUGCACUUCAUGAACUGAUAGCAAUGUAACCGAUUUUCGACUCAAUUUGGCCGGAAAGGCCUUAGAGCAUCUUCAACAGGCACGCCAUAUAGGCCGCGCACUAUAUAAACCGCUGAUAUGCAGCGCCGAAGUCUGAAAUCGUUCCUCCAGCAGGCGCUAUAUAUGGCGCGGCGUUGCAAAUUUUUUUGGGCGCGGGCCGUUUUGCCCUAUCCUAGGCGCUAU